rnacentral:rRNA from 1 species
UACGUAGGGGGCGAGCGUUGUCCGGAUUUAUUGGGCGUAAAGAGCUCGUAGGCGGUUCGAUAAGUCGGAUGUGAAAUCUCCACGCUCAACGUGGAGGGGCCAUUCGAUACUGUCGUGACUCGAGUCCGGUAGGGGAGUGUGGAAUUCCGCGUGUAGCAGUGAAAUGCGUAGAGAUGCGGAGGAACACCGAUGGCGAAGGCAGCCCCCUGGGCUGACACUGACGCUCAGGCACGAAAGCGUGGGGAGCAAACAGG